CUCUGCGCCGCACACUCUGCGCAGGGCGAAAGGAG
rnacentral:ncRNA from 1 species